UCCUACGGGAGGCAGCAGCAAGGAAUCUUGGGCAAUGGGCGAAAGCCUGACCCAGCGACGCCGCGUGAGGGAUGAAGGCCUUCGGGUCGUAAACCUCUUUUAUGGGGGAAGAAGUUCUGACGGUACCCCAUGAAUAAGCCACGGCUAACUACGUGCCAGCAGCCGCGGUA
rnacentral:rRNA from 1 species